UCAGUGGGGGGUGGGUCCCUCAGCCUGGAUUGCGAGAGGGCGCAGGCCAGGCCAAGGGAUCCCACCAGUGCAUG
rfam:Myotis lucifugus cont2.27623, whole genome shotgun sequence.